UCCUAAGUUCAAGUGAUUCUCCUGCCUCAGCCUCCGAAUUAGCUGGGAUUACAGGCACGCGCCACCAUGCCCAGCUAAUUUUUUGUAUUUUUAGUAGAGACGGGGUUU